rnacentral:rRNA from 1 species
AUCAAUGGCCAUAUCAGCUUGAAUAUACCCAAUCUUGUCUGAUCUUGGAAGUUAAGCAGGGUCAGGUCUGGUUAGUACUUGGAUGGGAGACCUGGGAAUAUCAGAUACUAUAGACU